GACGAACGCUGGCGGCGUGCUUAAUACAUGCAAGUCGAACGAAAAGAGGGAAAGAGCUUGCUCUUUCCGGAAUUGAGUGGCAAACGGGUGAGUAACACGUAAACAACCUGCCUUCAGGAUGGGGACAACAGACGGAAACGACUGCUAAUACCGAAUAAGUUCCAAGAGCCGCAUGGCCCAUGGAAGAAAAGGUGGCCUCUACCUGUAAGCUAUCGCCUGAAGAGGGGUUUGCGUCUGAUUAGCUGGUUGGAGGGGUAACGGCCCACCAAGGCGACGAUCAGUAGCCGGUCUGAGAGGAUGAACGGCCACACUGGAACUGAGACACGGUCCAGACUCCCACGGGAGGCAGCAGUGGGGAAUCUUCCGCAAUGGGCGAAAGCCUGACGGAGCAACGCCGCGUGAGUGAUGACGGCCUUCGGGUUGUAAAACUCUGUGAUCCGGGACGAAAAGGCAGAGUGUGAAGGACAAACUGCAUGAC
rnacentral:rRNA from 1 species